AAUAGCCAAAUAUUUAUCCGUAUAAUACAAGUAAUUUUGCAAUUAAUUAAACGUAUUAUUAGAUCUGACCAAUCAGAAACUGAGAAUAAAAAAAGAAAGUAAGAGUUUGGCUUCUGAGACUACAGCGCUUCAAAAACCAAAGGGGAGGCAGGAAGUGAAGACCUAACCUUGUUUAUCAAAGUUUUUCCAGCACAGAGUGCGUAACUGCAAAUCAGGAAGCCUUGUCUGUACUGAACUUAUACCUUUACAUUAUUUAAACAAGAAGGACUGUAUUAACAAGAGAAACCUAACGAUACUCCUACAAGACUUUCCAAUUCAACAGAAGUUCAAAAUGAGAGGUAAAGGUAGGGUUACUUCUAAAAACCCAGAAAUGAAUCCGGAGAUGAAGAUACGAGGAGUGCUCUUUGAAAUCGUUGUCAUCUCGUCUCUUUUCGCAGUAUUUCUCUUGAUAACUGGCGCCAUAAUGCUCAUCUUAGUCUAUGUAAAGGCAGUUCAUUAUAUUUCACUGGUUCAAGCUAGCAAUAUACCCAUGAAUAUUGUAGGAUUCGUAUUCAUUGGUGUCGGCGUUUUGAUUUUUCUCAGUCAAUUGAUCACCUACGCAGUGUUACGCAUAGUGGCACAACGACACCGUCGAACCCAAGAGGGCCAAAACUUGUGUUU